AGCGAACGCUGGCGGCAGGCUUAACACAUGCAAGUCGAACGCCCCGCAAGGGGAGUGGCAGACGGGUGAGUAACACGUGGGAACGUACCCUUUGGUUCGGAAUAACUUGGGGAAACUCAAGCUAAUACCGGAUAAGCCCUAACGGGGAAAGGUUUACUGCCGAAGGAUCGGCCCGCGUCUGAUUAGCUAGUUGGUGAGGUAAUGGCUCACCAAGGCGACGAUCAGUAGCUGGUCUGAGAGGAUGAUCAGCCACACUGGGACUGAGACACGGCCCAGACUCCUACGGGAGGCAGCAGUGGGGAAUAUUGGACAAUGGGGGCAACCCUGAUCCAGCCAUGCCGCGUGAGUGAUGAAGGCCUUAGGGUUGUAAAGCUCUUUUACCCGGGACGAUAAUGACUGUACCGGGAGAAUAAGCCCCGGCUAACUCCGUGCCAGCAGCCGCCGUAA
rnacentral:rRNA from 1 species